GGGUUGUGAGGUUAAGCGACUAAGCGUACACGGUGGAUGCCCUGGCAGUCAGAGGCGAUGAAGGGCGUGCUAAUCUGCGAUAAGCGCCGGUAAGGUGAUAUGAACCGUUAUAACCGGCGAUACCCGAAUGGGGAAACCCAGUGUGAUUCGUCACACUAUCAUUAACUGAAUCCAUAGGUUAAUGAGGCGAACCGGGGGAACUGAAACAUCUAAGUACCCCGAGGAAAAGAAAUCAACCGAGAUUCCCCCAGUAGCGGCGAGCGAACGGGGAGGAGCCCAGAGCCUGAAUCAGCAUGUGUGUUAGUGGAAGCGUCUGGAAAGGCGCGCGAUACAGGGUGACAGCCCCGUACACAAAAGCGCAUGUGCUGUGAGCUCGAUGAGUAGGGCGGGACACGUGGUAUCCUGUCUGAAUAUGGGGGGACCAUCCUCCAAGGCUAAAUACUCCUGACUGACCGAUAGUGAACCAGUACCGUGAGGGAAAGGCGAAAAGAACCCCGGCGAGGGGAGUGAAAAAGAACCUGAAACCGUGUACGUACAAGCAGUGGGAGCNNNNNNNNNNNNNNNNNNNNNNNNNNNNNNNNNNNNNNNNNNNNNNNNNNNNNNNNNNNNNNNNNNGGGCGUUAAGUUGCAGGGUAUAGACCCGAAACCCGGUGAUCUAGCCAUGGGCAGGUUGAAGGUUGGGUAACACUAACUGGAGGACCGAACCGACUAAUGUUGAAAAAUUAGCGGAUGACCUGUGGCUGGGGGUGAAAGGCCAAUCAAACCGGGAGAUAGCUGGUUCUCCCCGAAAGCUAUUUAGGUAGCGCCUCGUGAAUUCAUCUCCGGGGGUAGAGCACUGUUUCGGCUAGGGGGCCAUCCCGGCUUACCAACCCGAUGCAAACUGCGAAUACCGGAGAAUGUUAUCACGGGAGACACACGGCGGGUGCUAACGUCCGUCGUGAAGAGGGAAACAACCCAGACCGCCAGCUAAGGUCCCAAAGUCAUGGUUAAGUGGGAAACGAUGUGGGAAGGCCCAGACAGCCAGGAUGUUGGCUUAGAAGCAGCCAUCAUUUAAAGAAAGCGUAAUAGCUCACUGGUCGAGUCGGCCUGCGCGGAAGAUGUAACGGGGCUAAACCAUGCACCGAAGCUGCGGCAGCGACACUGUGUGUUGUUGGGUAGGGGAGCGUUCUGUAAGCCUGCGAAGGUGGCCUGUGAGGGUUGCUGGAGGUAUCAGAAGUGCGAAUGCUGACAUAAGUAACGAUAAAGCGGGUGAAAAGCCCGCUCGCCGGAAGACCAAGGGUUCCUGUCCAACGUUAAUCGGGGCAGGGUGAGUCGACCCCUAAGGCGAGGCCGAAAGGCGUAGUCGAUGGGAAACGGGUUAAUAUUCCCGUACUUGGUGUUACUGCGAAGGGGGGACGGAGAAGGCUAUGUUGGCCGGGCGACGGUUGUCCCGGUUUAAGCGUGUAGGUGUGUGUUCCAGGUAAAUCCGGUUCACUUUAACACUGAGGCGUGACGACGAGGCACUACGGUGCUGAAGCAACAAAUGCCCUGCUUCCAGGAAAAGCCUCUAAGCAUCAGGUAACAUCAAAUCGUACCCCAAACCGACACAGGUGGUCAGGUAGAGAAUACCAAGGCGCUUGAGAGAACUCGGGUGAAGGAACUAGGCAAAAUGGUGCCGUAACUUCGGGAGAAGGCACGCUGACACGUAGGUGAAGUGAUUUACUCAUGGAGCUGAAGUCAGUCGAAGAUACCAGCUGGCUGCAACUGUUUAUUAAAAACACAGCACUGUGCAAACACGAAAGUGGACGUAUACGGUGUGACGCCUGCCCGGUGCCGGAAGGUUAAUUGAUGGGGUCAGCGCAAGCGAAGCUCCUGAUCGAAGCCCCGGUAAACGGCGGCCGUAACUAUAACGGUCCUAAGGUAGCGAAAUUCCUUGUCGGGUAAGUUCCGACCUGCACGAAUGGCGUAAUGAUGGCCAGGCUGUCUCCACCCGAGACUCAGUGAAAUUGAACUCGCUGUGAAGAUGCAGUGUACCCGCGGCAAGACGGAAAGACCCCGUGAACCUUUACUAUAGCUUGACACUGAACAUUGAGCCUUGAUGUGUAGGAUAGGUGGGAGGCUUUGAAGUGUGGACGCCAGUCUGCAUGGAGCCGACCUUGAAAUACCACCCUUUAAUGUUUGAUGUUCUAACGUGGACCCGUUACCCGGGUUGCGGACAGUGUCUGGUGGGUAGUUUGACUGGGGCGGUCUCCUCCUAAAGAGUAACGGAGGAGCACGAAGGUUGGCUAAUCCUGGUCGGACAUCAGGAGGUUAGUGCAAUGGCAUAAGCCAGCUUGACUGCGAGCGUGACGGCGCGAGCAGGUGCGAAAGCAGGUCAUAGUGAUCCGGUGGUUCUGAAUGGAAGGGCCAUCGCUCAACGGAUAAAAGGUACUCCGGGGAUAACAGGCUGAUACCGCCCAAGAGUUCAUAUCGACGGCGGUGUUUGGCACCUCGAUGUCGGCUCAUCACAUCCUGGGGCUGAAGUAGGUCCCAAGGGUAUGGCUGUUCGCCAUUUAAAGUGGUACGCGAGCUGGGUUUAGAACGUCGUGAGACAGUUCGGUCCCUAUCUGCCGUGGGCGCUGGAGAACUGAGGGGGGCUGCUCCUAGUACGAGAGGACCGGAGUGGACGCAUCACUGGUGUUCGGGUUGUCAUGCCAAUGGCACUGCCCGGUAGCUAAAUGCGGAAGAGAUAAGUGCUGAAAGCAUCUAAGCACGAAACUUGCCCCGAGAUGAGUUCUCCCUGAGACUUAGAGUCUCCUGAAGGAACGUUGAAGACGACGACGUUGAUAGGCCGGGUGUGUAAGCGCAGCGAUGCGUUGAGCUAACCGGUACUAAUGAACCGUGAGGCUUAACCUUACAACGCCGAAG
rnacentral:rRNA from 1 species